AAAGGGUGUUAAAAAAAAAAAAAGCUUCGCUCUCGAUUAAAAAGCGUGAUUGAUUUGAGCCCAUCCGGGCAGCUGCUUUGUGACUUUGAGACAUAAUGAUAAAAAUAAUAUAGGCCAUGGCCCACCUUGGACAACUUUUCAUCGACUUGCGUCGGAAGGAUUUGCGGACAGCCACAGAUUCUCACAUUCAAUAACAGUCUAACAGCACAUGUAAUAUCAAUAAUUGUCAGGUAAGGUUCUUUAGUCUCACAGUAUGUAUGAGCAAAAACAAAUCGAGUUGGAUCUCCAGAUAAUAUUGUUUAUUACCGUGGAUUGAUUAAAUGAUUAUUUUCUUUUUCUUUUUUCUUUAGGAAAAACAAAGACAUAAUUAAUCUAUCUAAUUUCGAUAGAGUACCUUUAAUUAAUCAAUGAUUUAUCUAAUACUUGGAGUAAUUUAGAAAAAAAAGUAACCUAAAUGAUAAAAGUAAAAAACAUUAGGAAUCUUUUUUUAUUAUUAUUAUAAAAGGUACAGCGAGGGCAAAGCCUAAAUCAAAAAAUAAUUCGAUUAAACCUUUACAGUAGAGCUGGUAAAAUUUGACACGAUCCGAUUACCCGAUACGAACACGACAUAAAUAAAUGGGUAUGGGUAGUCAAAUUUAACACGAUUAUUAAAUGGGUCGGGUCCGGGUCAACACGAUUUUUUUCAGUGUCGGGUUUGGGUUAAAAUUCUUGACCCAUUUACCCGAUCAAUGACCCGAUUAUAUUUUCUAUUUUAAAAUAAUUUACAUAUUCUUAUAAUUAAAACUUAAAUAUUAGAGAUGAUUUUCUUUUUUUUAUUCUUUAAAAGGGUGAAUAUAAACACAGUGUUUUAUUUAUAAAAUUUUAUAUACAUUUAGAGCUUCAAUAGUGUAAAUGUGUAAAAAUUGAUAGACAUGUAUAUUUUAUAAUAUUGAUAUAUAAUAUUAUAUAUAUAUAUAUAUAUAUAAUUAAAACCUCAAUAGUGUAAAUGUGUAAUAUAUUGGUAGAUAUGUAUAUUUUAUAAUAUCGAUAAAUUAUGUAUGUAUGUAUGUAUGUAUGUAGUUAUGUACAUACGUAUGUAUGAUAGUGUGUAAAUAUUUUAUGUAACUUUUGUUCAAUAUAUAGAUAUUAAACGGGUUAUUGGGUAACCCGAUUAUUUUUCCGUGUCGGGUUUGGGUCUCAAUAUUUUGACACGAUUAUUAAAUGGGUCGGGUUUGGGUCGACCUAAAUUUGACACGACACGAAGCUGACACGACACGAACACGACCCGAUGACCCAUUUUGCCAGCUCUACUUUACAGGCAGGCGUCUAAGUCAUCCUUUACAUAAUAUUACUUAAUAAUAAAUAUGCAUAUGCAAUUGUUGAAAUGAUGGAGAAAACUAAAUGUGAACACAAGCCAUUUUCAAAUGGAUUGGGAAUAUCUAUUCGGUUGUACGCUGGGGAGUAGACUAAUUUGCAUCAGUAAAGUCACCAUUCGAGGAAAAGGAGCAAUAUCGUGUAGUGGUCACGAGGCAAAUGAAGAAACAAGGAAUGCAAGUCAUGAGAUAGGAACUCUUAAUAUCGCAAUAAUUUUGUUUAAGGGAACAAGAAAAUGUUGCUCUAUAUAACAAUAAGUCUGUUAGCCGAAACAAGUCUUUGUUAGAAGCAAUUAGCUUGUGAGGAACAAUAUAUUCGACAUUAUUUACAAUUUUGUUGUUGCAAUCGGCACAAAAUGUAGUUGAAUGUGGCAGUAAAUAAGAUGUAAUUGAAUUACUAAUUCUGUAACGUUAAUGAAAGAAAAAAAAAUAGAAUGAAAGGAUAGGAAGUACAAGUAGGAAUUUAGGGGUGUUCAUAACGCAGCCUAAUCCGCUUAAUCCAUUCGAUCUAUAAAAGUUCGAUCCUAAAAAAUCUAAUACGUGCCUUCAUGGAUUGAAUUGAAUUAAAAAUUUUAAAAUUUGCAAUCGGUGAAUUGGAUGGGGAAUUAUUUCCAUAAAUCGGUAAAUUGGGGGUAAUUAAUUUAAAAAUACUAAAACUUGUAGUUGUGGUAUUAUUCGUAAACAAAUACGUUAAAAUGUAGUAAAAGUAACACCACAAUAUAUAUUAUCAAAACAAAUAGGAAAUAAAAUAAUUAAAUAAUUGAAUCAUUAAAAAAAAACAAAUAUAACUGCGUAAACAGUACAAUGAAAAAAAAAUCAACAAAUUGUAGAGUGAGCAAAGUGAAAAAAUUUUAAUCUGCAAAAUAGUAGAUUGAAUGUAAAUUGUAAUAAAUUCACAUCUGACCUGUAGAUAUAUGGAUUAGAUUUGAAUUAAAUUUCACCGAUUGCUUGAAUUAGAUUAAAAAUUAAUAAUCCACAAAAAUAUAGAUUAAAUGUGGAUUAAUGUCCAAUUCACAACAUUUGAUCCACCAUCACUCCUAUUGGAGUUCACGGUAGCUGAAAAAACCCGUUCGUGCUCUGUUGUAUGCUGCUAUCACCAUAGAUAUGGCUUCAAUUAAUAAUUAUCUCCGAAAUUGGGUGCUUGAUUGAUGCUUGAAUGACCAUAUGCCCAACAUCUCUGAAUUUGCUUCCUUGAUUCAUCCAUGACCUCAUUUUGGACUGAAAUCAAUACGGACAAGUAUAAGUGAUCGAUUUAACAGUUCAGUUCAACCCUCUUUGAAUUGCAAGUGACCAUAAAUUAAAUGGAGUAAAUGGUGCAGCAAAUUUAAUUGGAAAAAAAAAUAUUAAAUGACAAGUUUAAUAUGUGGAAAUACUACAAGGAUAUAUGUAAUUUCCAAAAGAUGCUAAUACUGUAGUUCUUAGUGGUUGGAAUUCGAAAACUAAGCUGCAAUGUCGAGAGAACAAAUAUACAAUAUAAGUUCCACACACAUAAUAAAAGUCAUACUUUGGUUAAAAAUUCAUUUACUUUUUAUAUUUUAACAUUAUAUUAUUUCGGCAAAUACUCAUUGAGUUCCGUUUUGUCCGUUUUGUCUUUAUCUUUUUUAAAAUACAUCAAAACAUCUAUAUUGUUAAAUUAUUAACAUCUUUGUACUUUUUGUUUCUUUUAACUUGUUUUUCUAAUAUUAUUCUCUCAAAAUAAUUUUUUUAGACAUUCCUAAAAAAUAAAGUAGAAACAAAAAGAAUAUAUGUUAUUUUUUUGUGAAACACUUUGAUGAUGAGUUAAUAUAUUAAUAUUUUAUUAAUGUAAAAAAAUAAAUAAUUUAAUUUUUGAAACAUACUAAUUUUUCUGGACACAUGUGAACUUCCAAAAAAAUUAAUAUAUAUUCUUUUUAUUGUUAUUCUAUUUUGGGAGUUAAAUUAGUAAUUUAAUUUUUUCAUGUUUAUUAAUGCAAAAAAAAAAUCAUUGUAAGAGGAUAACAUAAUAAAAACAAGUCAAAAAGAAUAAAAAGUAACGAUAAAAGUAUCAAUAAUUUAACAAGUUAUUUUGAGAUAUUUUUAAAAGAAUAUGGAUUAAAUAGGUAUUAACCUUAAAAUAUAAGGAUUAAAUGAGCUUUUACUACCGUACUUCCACGACAUUUUAUUAUAUCCUAGAAAACUAUGAAUACUUAACAAAAUACACUGCAUGUAGGGAUGGCAAUUUUCCAUUUGAGACGGGAUUGAAACAUAUUUUUGUCCUAUAAAAAAAUUUAGGGACGGGAGUGUGACAUUUUUAUCCCAAUUACAUAUGCGGGACGAGAGUGGGAUUGACAAAUUUCGUCUCAUCCCGUCUCAUUACCGAUUAAGAAUGGAAAUUUUUCCAAUUGGGCGGGAUCCCAUCUCUUUUUAGACAGGAUUGAGAUAUAUUUUUGUCCCAAAAAAAAAUAUAAGGACAGAACUGUGACAUUUUUUCAUCUCAUUUGCAUAUACGGGAUGGGAGUGGGAUUAGUAAAUCUCAUCCCAUUCCGUCCCAUUGCCAACCCUAAUUGCAGGUAGUUCAUAUUUGUGAAUAACUAAAUGUUUGGAGCAAAAGAUUGUGCCUAAAUUUCUUAGUUUGUGAUGUCAUUGUUUUAAUCCAACAGAGAGAUAUGCCAGCGAUGGACUUUAUUAUAUUAGUUGGCAAACUUGCAAUAUUACUUUUCUGGUUGCUAAUUUUGAACACAUGUCCAUUGUAAAACUUAAUAACGCCCGAGCUACUGUGAAACUGACUGUUAUGCAUUCGAAGAUAUUCCAAUACAUGGACUUACAAAAAUAAAAACAAAUAAACUUUUAAAAAAUAUUUACAUCACUGAACUGUUGAUAAAUAAUCCCUAAACCAUUUUGAAAAUUAAUGCCUUGUACUUCACAAUUUUGCCAUUUUCUAUACGAAAUCUAAUUUCCCACCAGCUAUAUUAACAACAAUUGGUUAUUCAGAAUUUCAAAUUCAAAUUAUACUUGCCUUAAAUUGGUGUAUUUGGUAUUGUUUUUCAAAUGAUAUUUUUAUUUUUAUUUUAUAAACUAGAAAUAAUUAGUUUUUAGUGAAAAUAAAAAUAUGAUUGGUUGAUUGUUUCUAAACUAGUGUUUGAAAAUGAAAAAGUGAAAAUGUGUUUCGUUGUUUGUCUAGAAAAAUGAAAAGAAUGAAUGAGAGUGAGAAAAAAAUGUAUUAUAAUGAAAAAAUUGUAAUAAAUUA
rnacentral:lncRNA from 1 species